ACGCACGCUGGCGGCGUGUUUAACACCUGCAAGUCGCACGGAAAGGCCCUGCUUUUGUGGGGUGCUCGAGUGGCGAACGGGUGAGUAACACGUGAGUAACCUGCCCUUGACUUUGGGAUAACUUCAGGAAACUGGGGCUAAUACCGGAUAGGAGCUCCUGCUGCAUGGUGGGGGUUGGAAAGUUUCGGCGGUUGGGGAUGGACUCGCGGCUUAUCAGCUUGUUGGUGGGGUAGUGGCUUACCAAGGCUUUGACGGGUAGCCGGCCUGAGAGGGUGACCGGCCACAUUGGGACUGAGAUACGGCCCAGACUCCUACGGGAGGCAGCAGUGGGGAAUAUUGCACAAUGGGCGGAAGCCUGAUGCAGCAACGCCGCGUGCGGGAUGACGGCCUUCGGGUUGUAAACCGCUUUCGCCUGUGACGAAGCGUGAGUGACGGUAAUGGGUAAAGAAGCACCGGCUAACUACGUG
rnacentral:rRNA from 1 species